rnacentral:rRNA from 1 species
UCAGAGGCGAUGAAGGGCGUGCUAAUCUGCGAUAAGCGCCGGUAAGGUGAUAUGAACCGUUAUAACCGGCGAUACCCGAAUGGGGAAACCCAGUGUGAUUCGUCACACUAUCAUUAACUGAAUCCAUAGGUUAAUGAGGCGAACCGGGGGAACUGAAACAUCUAAGUACCCCGAGGAAAAGAAAUCAACCGAGAUUCCCCCAGUAGCGGCGAGCGAACGGGGAGGAGCCCAGAGCCUGAAUCAGCAUGUGUGUUAGUGGAAGCGUCUGGAAAGGCGCGCGAUACAGGGUGACAGCCCCGUACACAAAAGCGCAUGUGCUGUGAGCUCGAUGAGUAGGGCGGGACACGUGGUAUCCUGUCUGAAUAUGGGGGGACCAUCCUCCAAGGCUAAAUACUCCUGACUGACCGAUAGUGAACCAGUACCGUGAGGGAAAGGCGAAAAGAACCCCGGCGAGGGGAGUGAAAAAGAACCUGAAACCGUGUACGUACAAGCAGUGGGAGCACAGGUUUACCUGUGUGACUGCGUACCUUUUGUAUAAUGGGUCAGCGACUUAUAUUCUGUAGCAAGGUUAACCGUAUAGGGGAGCCGGAGGGAAACCGAGUCUUAAUUGGGCGUUAAGUUGCAGGGUAUAGACCCGAAACCCGGUGAUCUAGCCAUGGGCAGGUUGAAGGUUGGGUAACACUAACUGGAGGACCGAACCGACUAAUGUUGAAAAAUUAGCGGAUGACCUGUGGCUGGGGGUGAAAGGCCAAUCAAACCGGGAGAUAGCUGGUUCUCCCCGAAAGCUAUUUAGGUAGCGCCUCGUGAAUUCAUCUCCGGGGGUAGAGCACUGUUUCGGCUAGGGGGCCAUCCCGGCUUACCAACCCGAUGCAAACUGCGAAUACCGGAGAAUGUUAUCACGGGAGACACACGGCGGGUGCUAACGUCCGUCGUGAAGAGGGAAACAACCCAGACCGCCAGCUAAGGUCCCAAAGUCAUGGUUAAGUGGGAAACGAUGUGGGAAGGCCCAGACAGCCAGGAUGUUGGCUUAGAAGCAGCCAUCAUUUAAAGAAAGCGUAAUAGCUCACUGGUCGAGUCGGCCUGCGCGGAAGAUGUAACGGGGCUAAACCAUGCACCGAAGCUGCGGCAGCGANNUGCUGGAGGUAUCAGAAGUGCGAAUGCUGACAUAAGUAACGAUAAAGCGGGUGAAAAGCCCGCUCGCCGGAAGACCAAGGGUUCCUGUCCAACGUUAAUCGGGGCAGGGUGAGUCGACCCCUAAGGCGAGGCCGAAAGGCGUAGUCGAUGGGAAACGGGUUAAUAUUCCCGUACUUGGUGUUACUGCGAAGGGGGGACGGAGAAGGCUAUGUUGGCCGGGCGACGGUUGUCCCGGUUUAAGCGUGUAGGUGUGUGUUCCAGGUAAAUCCGGUUCACUUUAACACUGAGGCGUGACGACGAGGCACUACGGUGCUGAAGCAACAAAUGCCCUGCUUCCAGGAAAAGCCUCUAAGCAUCAGGUAACAUCAAAUCGUACCCCAAACCGACACAGGUGGUCAGGUAGAGAAUACCAAGGCGCUUGAGAGAACUCGGGUGAAGGAACUAGGCAAAAUGGUGCCGUAACUUCGGGAGAAGGCACGCUGACACGUAGGUGAAGUGAUUUACUCAUGGAGCUGAAGUCAGUCGAAGAUACCAGCUGGCUGCAACUGUUUAUUAAAAACACAGCACUGUGCAAACACGAAAGUGGACGUAUACGGUGUGACGCCUGCCCGGUGCCGGAAGGUUAAUUGAUGGGGUCAGCGCAAGCGAAGCUCCUGAUCGAAGCCCCGGUAAACGGCGGCCGUAACUAUAACGGUCCUAAGGUAGCGAAAUUCCUUGUCGGGUAAGUUCCGACCUGCACGAAUGGCGUAAUGAUGGCCAGGCUGUCUCCACCCGAGACUCAGUGAAAUUGAACUCGCUGUGAAGAUGCAGUGUACCCGCGGCAAGACGGAAAGACCCCGUGAACCUUUACUAUAGCUUGACACUGAACAUUGAGCCUUGAUGUGUAGGAUAGGUGGGAGGCUUUGAAGUGUGGACGCCAGUCUGCAUGGAGCCGACCUUGAAAUACCACCCUUUAAUGUUUGAUGUUCUAACGUGGACCCGUAAUCCGGGUUGCGGACAGUGUCUGGUGGGUAGUUUGACUGGGGCGGUCUCCUCCUAAAGAGUAACGGAGGAGCACGAAGGUUGGCUAAUCCUGGUCGGACAUCAGGAGGUUAGUGCAAUGGCAUAAGCCAGCUUGACUGCGAGCGUGACGGCGCGAGCAGGUGCGAAAGCAGGUCAUAGUGAUCCGGUGGUUCUGAAUGGAAGGGCCAUCGCUCAACGGAUAAAAGGUACUCCGGGGAUAACAGGCUGAUACCGCCCAAGAGUUCAUAUCGACGGCGGUGUUUGGCACCUCGAUGUCGGCUCAUCACAUCCUGGGGCUGAAGUAGGUCCCAAGGGUAUGGCUGUUCGCCAUUUAAAGUGGUACGCGAGCUGGGUUUAGAACGUCGUGAGACAGUUCGGUCCCUAUCUGCCGUGGGCGCUGGAGAACUGAGGGGGGCUGCUCCUAGUACGAGAGGACCGGAGUGGACGCAUCACUGGUGUUCGGGUUGUCAUGCCAAUGGCACUGCCCGGUAGCUAAAUGCGGAAGAGAUAAGUGCUGAAAGCAUCUAAGCACGAAACUUGCCCCGAGAUGAGUUCUCCCUGAGACUUAGAGUCUCCUGAAGGAACGUUGAAGACGACGACGUUGAUAGGCCGGGUGUGUAAGCGCAGCGAUGCGUUGAGCUAACCGGU